rnacentral:rRNA from 1 species
UACGAAGGGGGCUAGCGUUGUUCGGAAUUACUGGGCGUAAAGCGUGCGCAGGCGGCUUCUCAAGUCAGGGGUGAAAGCCCAGAGCUCAACUCUGGAAUUGCCUUUGAGACUGAGAGGCUUGAGUACGGGAGAGGUGAGUGGAAUUCCCAGUGUAGAGGUGAAAUUCGUAGAUAUUGGGAAGAACACCAGUGGCGAAGGCGAGUCUCUGGACAGUUACUGACGCUGAGGCACGAAGGC